UACGGAGGAUCCAAGCGUUAUCCGGAUUCAUUGGGUUUAAAGGGUGCGUAGGUGGAAUGAUAAGUCAGUGGUGAAAUCCUGCAGCUUAACUGUAGAAUUGCCAUUGAUACUGUCAAUCUUGAGUACAUUGGAUGAGGGCGGAAUGUGUCAUGUAGCGGUGAAAUGCUUAGAUAUGACACAGAACACCGAUUGCGAAGGCAGCUCUCAAAACUGUAACUGACACUGAGGCACGAAAGCGUGGGUAUCAAACAGG
rnacentral:rRNA from 1 species